UAAGGGUGGCGGGUGUUGAUCGCUCUCCUUCCUGUACAACCAGCCCCGCGACCGAUGUUUGUACAAACCUUGCUAACGUGAGGCUCAAGCACUAUGGUUAAUUUAAUAAAAAGGUAACAAGUUUGAUCGGAUGUCGCCGAACAGCCUGCUUUGGCUUGUUUGGAAGUCUAAGCACAGGUGGAUCCGCCUGCUUUGGAUUUCUGCCUUGCGCAGGGUCUUCAGCUUGGAGCCCCCCUUCACAAGAGUGUUAUCACUGUUGAUAACCUGAAGAAAUUCAAAAUAAAUUCAUGGAACAAAACCCGAGAGAGAAAUCCAAACAGUCUCCUCAACAACAGCAGGUCCAAAUGGAAAUGAUCAUGCUUCCAGACUGAGGGUGGAGGAAUAUCUCACCUCAAGAUGAAUAUCUCACCUCAAGAUGAAUAUCUCACCGAAAGCUUUCGGUGAUAUCACAUGACCUUCAUUAGCCGAACAUCAGAUCAUGUUUGCUCAUUCAUCACAAGCACCUGUACUUCAAAAUUAUGAUAUUAAUAUAAUGAUGAUGUCCUCACCAAGAUACUACUACUACUAGUUCACACAAGUAUUCCAAAAACAGAACAAACAAGCUCAAUAGAAUAGAAAUAGAGAAUGUGUACCUGUGUGGUUAUAACAUGUUUAAGGCACAUUUAGAAACAGGUGAACAAAACUAAAUAUAAACAUAAAUACCAUUAAUAUGGAUAAAAUACAACAUCAAUAUUAAUUAUAAAAGGUUGGAACCAUUAUAUUCAUGAAAUAGUAUUUUGCCAUUACUUCCACCCAGGAAUGGCUCGAUAUUAUAAUUUUUUUUGAAGAUAUUGGCCGAAAUAGUUUCACAGUUUUCACUAUUAUCAUUAAUGUAUAGUGUCAGCCGCUCCUUCUGCUGAGCAAC